UACGUAGGGUGCGAGCGUUUAUCGGAAUUACUGGGCGUAAAGCGUGCGCAGGCGGUUCGUUGUGUCUGAUGUGAAAGCCCCGGGCUCAACCUGGGAAUGGCAUUGGAAACUGGCGAGCUGGAGUGCGGCAGAGGGGGGUGGAAUUCCGCGUGUAGCAGUGAAAUGCGUAGAGAUGCGGAGGAACACCGAUGGCGAAGGCAGCCCCCUGGGCCGACACUGACGCUCAGGCACGAAAGCGUGGGGAGCAAACAGG
rnacentral:rRNA from 1 species